rnacentral:lncRNA from 10 species
AGCGUUGGGGAAACAUGCUCAACUUCCAGCAGUCAUUCCCGCUCGCCUCCUUUCUCUUUGCUCGAGGUCUUCGGUUCAGGCUCCACAACUGAUUGAUGCUGUUUUCCUGUUAGUAUCUCUUUUUCAUCAUGCACGAUCCUCCAUAGUGAUGGAAUGGAGACAGCUUCUCAGAGAAAGCACAGCUUUGGAAGGUAAGUGCCGUUUGGAUGGUGAGACCAUCAGAUCAAUUUAACUAGGCCAAGACUCUGAUCAAUGUUCUUAAACCUAUGUAACCCACUGCCACAGAGAUUUCAAAGUGAGGAAGGGUCCUGGACGCCCAUUCAUCCAUUCUCAAUGAAUUAUUCAUUUGACCAGCACUUUCUGACUUUCUAGCUUCAGCCAGACACCGUACAAGGGACAGGGGAGACUGAGAUGAAGAACACUCGGUGCUUCUUCCCAAGGCACUCGCAAUCUCGGAGAAGACAGAUGUGUACUCACACAGAUGCAUAUGCUACAGCACUGUGUGAUGAUGCUAUACAUGCACAAAGUGACCGGGAACAGAGCGGCCGUCCCUGGCGACUCA